rnacentral:rRNA from 1 species
GUCCAUGCCGUAAACGUUGGUUACUAGAUGUUCGGCUGCAAGGCUGAGUGUCCAAGCGCAAGCGAUAAGUAACCCACCUGGGGAGUACGUUCGCAAGAAUGAAACUCAAAGGAAUUGACGGGGCCCGCACAAGCGGUGGAGCAUGUGGUUUAAUUCGAUGGUACGCGAGGAACCUUACCUGGGCUAGAAUGCCCUUGACAGCAGCUGAAAGGUUGUUUCCUUCGGGACAAGGUGCAAGGUGCUGCAUGGUUGUCGU